rnacentral:rRNA from 1 species
UCCAGAGUACGGCCAGACACGUGAAACCUGGUCGGAAUACGGGGGGACCACCCUCCAACCCUAAAUACUACCCAGUGACCGAUAGCGUAUAGUACUGUGAAGGAAAGGUGAAAAGCACCCCGGGAGGGGAGUGAAAGAGAACCUGAAACCCUGUGCCUACAAGCACCUAGAGCACGUCAAUGUGUGAUAGGGUACUUUUUGUAGAACGGUCCGGCGAGCGAUUGUAUGCAGCAAGGUUAAGGACUUAAGGUCUGGAGCCGAAGCGAAAGCGAGUUUGAAAAGGGCGUUAAGUUGCAUACAAUGGGCCCGAAACCGGGUGACCUACCCAUGGUCAGGUUGAAGUGGAAGUAAAAUUCCAUGGAGGACCGAACCGACCUCCGUUGAAAAGGCGGCGGAUGAACUGUGGGUAGCGGAGAAAUUCCAAUCGAACCCGGAGAUAGCUGGUUCUCCCCGAAAUAGUUUUAGGACUAGCCUCAAGUUAGAUACCUGGAGGUAAAGCACUGAAUAGCCUAGCGGCCGAGAGGUUAGCGAAGCUUAUCAAACUCAGAAUGCCAGAGUAUUGAUGCUUGGGAGUCAGACAGUGUCAGAUAAAUGUCAUUGUCAAAAGGGAAACAGCCCAGAUCUACAGCUAAGGUCCCAAAGUCAGGUUAAGUGGAAAACGAUGUGAAGAUACGCAGACAACCAGGAUGUUGGCUCAGAAGCAGCCACUCAUUCAAAGAGUGCGUAAUAGCUCACUGGUCGAGCGUCUUUGCGCGGAGAAUUUAACGGGGCUAAACCUGACACCGAAGCUUAGGCAA